GUGUUGGUAUCUGGGCAGGAAAUGCUCUGUCCAGUUGCAGGCAAAGGGCCAAUCUGACCUCAUUAUUUCAGACUGUGCAGAGCUACUCUGGCUGACAAGAGCCCCGUGAAGGAGGACCACUUGACCUGCAAGCCUUUGAUUCAUCAUGCCAGUGUCGACAAGAGUAUGGCAUAGCCCUCGACCGAAGCAUUAACAAGUAUGAGAUGUCCCUAUUGCCGGUACACCAGGACCGAAGUGGCAGAGGAAGAGACUAUGGAUGAUAUUAUAUUCAGAAGUGACACAGUACUCUCUGACAUUCACUUGCACACCCCAAAAGAGCGACAUCUCAUGGUGCGGUUGAAUGGGGUUGGACAGCCAGUGUUUUUAUCACAGUUCAAGCUCCUUAGGAAGCAAACUGAUGUGGCAUUUGAGAUGAAAUACAAGAGUGCGUUUACAAGCGAAAAUGGCAGAGGUGGCAGCAGAGGUGACGGCAUUUCACUCAUUGGACAUAACAAAAAUGAACUGCCUUCUAAAGGAAUAGACUCUUUGCUAGAUGCUGAUGGUGAUUUGGAAGUUGUCAGAAGACCUCAGUGCACCUCCACCUCAGAAGCAGAGGAUUUGUCAAGGGAAAAGGUUUGUCCAAUGGUACUGAUGAAAGGAGGAGAAGACCUUUAUGAACAGGAAGAGCAAGAAUGCAGAAACGACAUCAUUAAAAUAGAACACACGAUGGCAACUCCUCUGGAAGAUGUUGGUAAACAGGUAUGGCGUGGAGCCUUUCUUCUUGCUGAUUACAUCUUAUUUGACCAGGACACGUUCAGAUGUUGCACACUUCUGGAGCUUGGAGGAGGCACUGGCCUCACCAGCAUUAUUGCAGCAACAAUUGCUGGAAGAGUGUAUUGCACAGAUGUGGGUGAAGAUCUUCUUGCCACCUGCGAGCAAAACGUAAGAUUAAACAGACAUCUCUGGGAGCCAGCAGGAAGUGAAGUUAAAGUAAAAGAGCUGGACUGGCUGAAAGAUGGCCUUUGUACUGAUCCUGAGGCCCCCUACAGUUGGUCUGAAGCAGAGAUAGCUGACAUGUAUAACCAUGCCUCUGUGAUCUUAGCUGCUGAUGUGUUUUAUGAUGAUGACUUGACAGACGCCUUCUUUGGAACGCUGCGCAGACUCACCAGCUACCUAAACCGUGUGUGUACCAUUUACCUGGCAAUAGAAAAGAGGCUGAACUUCACCCUCAGAAGCAUGGACAUUGCGUGCGAAGCUUACAAUCAUUUUCGAGAUGCUCUGUCCAACCUGGCCAGCCUUAGAGAUGGUGAAAUGAAAUACACUGUUGAGCCUGUCAGAUUCACUUUCUGCCAGUCCCUUGUUUAUGAACGAAUUGAGCAAUUGAUGCAGAAAGCCAGACAGGAAUUCAGUGAGGCCACUGGACAAUGAGGGAAUAAAAGGAGCAUUCAAAAUGGAAUAUAGCCAUUGCAGAGAAACUAAAUAAGGAGCUGUGGAAGGUUGUUGCUGAACCACAGAUGUGAUGGACAGCAGAAGAACGCCUUUCUUUGGGGUGGUGAUGGUAUCCUAAGCCUUUUAGCACGUCCACAUAGAGCUGCUUUGGAGAAAGCAUGCGUUCUGUGGGAAUGGUCUCAGUGACUGAAAAGGAUACCGUCUCACCUUGGUUAAAUAAAUAUUUAUAGCAGUCAUAGCAGUUUGAGGCUGAAGUGGGUUACUGGUCAGUGCUGCUCCAUGUGAUGGGAUUCUUUUUUUUUGUCAAGUUUGAGAAAUGUCUUGGACACAGUGGCUGUCAGUGCUCUGUGCUCUUCCUUGAUAGCAGCUCUCUGAGGUUAGAAGUAGCAUGGCAGCAUGCACUAAUUGAGCAUGGUGAAGAUUUUCUCUGAGCAUAUUGGCUCAUUUGGAAAGGCCAGAAAUGGACAAAUGGAGCAUGGCAGAUCUAGUGAACAGCAGGUUGGUCAGUCUCAGCAUAACAUGAAGGAGCCACAGCACAGUUGGGAGAACUUGUUAUCAAGUGGUUGGAGGCUGAACCAGCACUGAUGAGCAUCCUGGGGAGGGGUCUUGAGAGAAAAUCGUGCUUAAAUAGGGUGUUCACCUGUCCCAGUUUAGCCAGGACAGUCCUGGAUUUCAGAGGCUGGUCCCAGCCAGUUAUUGAGAAUUAUAAGGGGUAUUCCAGAAAUGCAGGGGCACAGAGCUCAGUCUAGCCAGGAGCCAGAGCAGUGCAGAGCACCUUGCAGGCAGGCAGGCACCUGGGUGGAGGGAGGGGGAGGGUAGUGUCCUGAAGGGUGUCCCAGGUUUCCUUGUGGUCAGCUUAUGUUUAAGAAACUCAAUUUCCUUAGGCAAUGGAGGGCAAUUGGCCUGCCUCAUCUUUCAACAUUUUUAGUAAAAGGAGAUUAAGAUGUGAUGUGAUCAAUCUUUACAGGAUGCUUGCAUGGAAAAUGCAAGGGAAGGAGAAAAGCUUUUUAUGUAACCAGGAUUUUUCUGUUAGAUGAAAAUGCAUUUCAGUCCCACCAGACAACUUGAGUGCAAACACUGAAGUUCCUUCUGCAGAACCUGAAUCCUUUCAAAGUAAGUUGUUACAGGUAACAUUGCCAUACCAACCACCAUUGACCCAACCAAAUCCUGAUCCCAGCCUUUUAUGAUGACUCACUGCUUAUGACCGUGUUGAGCCUCACCGAAUUCCAGCAAGUAGCUCCUAGAAUAACACAUUCAAACCAGGCAGUUAGGAUUCCUAACCUCCUUUGUCCAGGCAGAUUUCAGCCAACAGGAAACUUGUCCUAUACAGCAUCCAGUAGGGGAACAGAAGCCAACCACCAAUCUUGUGCCUUGUCUUCUCACCAAGUACUUCACUUCUGUUAUUUAAUUAUGGCACAAGCUGGUUGCCAAGUUCUCCACUUGUGGCAAUAAAACACCCCUUGGCCAGUGCAAAAGAAAAAUAUUGUUAUCUGGGAAGUUCCCAGCAAUUGAGCAAUGAUGCAGAUAUUGUAGUGUCCUAUUACCACCAGCAACAGCGUACCUCUUUCAUGUAUACAUUGAGGAUCUUUAUUUUGGGCCAUAUUUAAGCAGAAGUUGCUGCUGCUGCACCAAAAGACACUAAACUGCUUAAGGAGGAAUUUAAAUGGACAGAGAAAAAAAAGCCAAGAACUCCUUAGAUUGUCUCAAUUAUUUCCCUUUGCGAUUACUUCAGAAUCCCAGUACCACAUCUCCAGGAAACUGAAGCAUCCUUAGUAUUCUUCUGUUAGUUACUUACUGAAAGUUACAUUGGCUAGUUCUCUACCUCUUAUGUUCCCUGCCAUUGGACAUCCACUAGUUAGAGGACUGUCCAGUCCAGCCAUCUGCAACAUCUACAGUUGCCCCAGCUAAUAGCAUUCUAUGCAGGCCAGGAUAAGAAGACAGUACCAGGGACAUCCUCUUACUCAAGGGCUACUAGGAAAGAGGGCAUUCUUUCUCAAGGCUCCAGAAAUGCAGGCUGGGAACAGCCAAUGCCAGUACAAUAUAUUGGCUUCAAUCAUUAUCUCUACACAUGGCAAUUUCCAGCAACGUCCACAGUGUGGAUUCAUGUUGCUACAUAGCAGCCACAUGCAGUAGAUCUGAAUGCUAAGAGAGUUAGAGCGUAUUGAGUUUCCACACCUUUAAUAUGUCUCCAGAUUUACCAAGUUUUAUGGAUUCCUCAUCAGAUUUCCCUCCAGUUAGUCAUUCAGUACACAUCCAUUAGGUGUCUCUACUUUAUUCUCAGUUUCUCCGUGUUCACAUUGUGUAUGGGAAUGUUAAUGCAUACAAUGCUUCAAUAAAUCUCUUCCCUGU